UGGGGAAUAUUGCACAAUGGGCGAAAGCCUGAUGCAGCGACGCCGCGUGAGGGAUGACGGCCUUCGGGUUGUAAACCUCUUUCAGCAGGGACGAAGCGCAAGUGACGGUACCUGCAGAAGAAGCACCGGCUAACUACGUGCCAGCAGCCGCGGUAAUACGUAGGGUGCAAGCGUUGUCCGGAAUUACUGGGCGUAAAGAGUUCGUAGGCGGUUUGUCGCGUCGUUUGUGAAAACCAGCAGCUCAACUGCUGGCUUGCAGGCGAUACGGGCAGACUUGAGUACUGGAGGGGAGACUGGAAUUCCUGGUGUAGCGGUGAAAUGCGCAGAUAUCAGGAGGAACACCGGUGGCGAAGGCGGGUCUCUGGGCAGUAACUGACGCUGAGGAACGAAAGCGUGGGUAGCGAACAGG
rnacentral:rRNA from 1 species